rnacentral:snRNA from 14 species
UUACUUACCUGGCAGGGGAGACACCAUGAUCUAGAAGAUGGUUUUCCUACCAGCAGGGGAUAACUGCUUUUCUGACAAGAGGUAAGUACCUU